AACGCGAAGAACCUUACCUGGGCUCGAAAUAUAGAGGACGAUAUCAGAGAUGAUAUUUCUCGAAAGGGUCUUUAUAUAGGUGCUGCAUGGCUGUCGUCAGCUCGUGCCGUGAGGUGUUUGGUUAAGUCCAGCAACGAGCGCAACCCUUAUCGUUAGUUGCCAACGCGUAAAGGCGGGAACUCUAACGAGACUGCCUGGGUUAACCAGGAGGAAGGUGAGGAUGACGUCAAGUCCGCAUGGCCUUUAUGUCCAGGGCUACACACGUGCUACAAUGGUCGGUACAGAAGGCAGCGAAACCGUAAGGCGAAGCAAAUCCUGAAAAACCGAUCUCAGUUCAGAUUGUAGACUGCAACUCGUCUACAUGAAGUUGGAAUUGCUAGUAAUGGCGUGUCAGCAACAACGCCGUGAAUACGUUCCCGGGCCUUGUA
rnacentral:rRNA from 1 species